GACGAACGCUGGCGGCGUGCCUAAUACAUGCAAGUCGAGCGCAGGAAACUGACGGAACUCUUCGGAGGGAAGGCAGUGGAAUGAGCGGCGGACGGGUGAGUAACACGUAAGGAACCUGCCUCAAGGAUUGGGAUAACUCCGAGAAAUCGGAGCUAAUACCGGAUAGUUCAACGGACCGCAUGGUCCGCUGAUGAAAGGCGCUUCGGCGUCACCUUGAGAUGGCCUUGCGGUGCAUUAGCUAGUUGGUGGGGUAACGGCCCACCAAGGCGACGCUGGAUAGCCGACCUGGGACGGUGAUCGGCCACCCUGGGACUGAGACACGGCCCAGACUCCUACGGGAGGCAGCAGUAGGGAAUCUUCCACAAUGGACGAAAGUCUGAUGGAGCAACGCCGCGUGAGUGAUGAAGGUUUUCGGAUCGUAAAACUCUGUUGUAAGGGAAGAACACGUACGAGAGGAAAUGCUCGUACCUUGACGGUACCUUACGAGAAAGCCACGGCUAACUACGUGCCAGCCGCCGCCGUAACAC
rnacentral:rRNA from 1 species